UACGAAGGGGGCUAGCGUUGUUCGGAAUUACUGGGCGUAAAGCGUACGUAGGCGGCUUGUUAAGUGAGGGGUGAAAUCCCGAGGCUCAACCUCGGAACUGCCUUUCAUACUGGCAAUCUUGAGUCCGGGAGAGGUGAGUGGAACUCCUAGUGUAGAGGUGAAAUUCGUAGAUAUUAGGAAGAACACCAGUGGCGAAGGCGACUCACUGGCCCGGAACUGACGCUGAGGUACGAAAGCGUGGGGAGCAAACAGG
rnacentral:rRNA from 1 species